GAGAGUGUGUGUGUGUAUGUGUGUGUGAGAGAAAGAGAUUGACAUUAAUCAGUUUUUAAUUUAUUAGUGUAAAUCUAUUUUGUAUAAAGCUGCAGUCCGUGACUUUAACCAGCCAGUGUUCAAAACGAUCCUUACCUUAGCCUGAUUUACAACGGUAAGCUUGUAAUAAUGUUUUCUAAUUCGAGUAGCACUGGUGGGUUUCCACUGGAAAUUCAAGCAUGUUUACAUAAAGAAGGGGUCCCAGCCAGUAGGCUAUAUGGCAUGUGAGGAUGCUGCAGGUGGCGGCAGCCUUUUCUCACAGCAGCUGGAAUAAUUAAACUUAUUUUGAUGGUGGAUUGUAUGGUAUAACAAAUUAACGUUAGAGAGUAGACUGUACAGAAAUUGAAAUCUACAGGUAACGCUAAUACACACUAAAUACACAUACACUGUCAGAAAAAAGGGUACGAUUGGGGUCCAUUGUGAGCACUCUGGGUAGAAAUGCUUUGGUUGUACCCUCAAUGGGUCAUAUUUACACCUUAAGGACUAAUAUGUACCAUUUUGGGGAAAAUAAGGUACACAUUUGUUUCUAACUGUCAAAGGGUCCAUAUUUGUACCAUUUAAUCAACAAACAAAGGUACAAUCACUUGUGUGACUGAAAGGUUGACAGGGGGUGGGUAGUUCAAGACUGCCAAACCAUGCAAGUGCAUUAAAUUUGUGCACCUGAGCAUUAUUUCAAGCUAGACAAAUGUUUAUAUACUCAUCUUUUUAAGCAAGAAACAACGUGGGCGAUUUAAAAAAAAUAUAUAAUAUGCAGUCAGCCUCUCAAAUUCAAACAGCCCGCGCAACUCGCGAGCAUCACAGACGACAGUUGGACGGCCUGAUGGUUUCUCCUAAAGAUGAGAGAAGCUGGGAUAUAAUUCACCGAAGAUGAAGAAUCACAGAAAUUGAGAGUCCCUCAAACAUAAACUCAGUGGAACUUGCACCUCUGGUUCUUGAAGGUGAGGUCAGAAAGAGCAAGGAGAGCAAGGCUGUCUGAAGAAACUCCAGGAGGAGUCUCACAGGAGUUUGCAGUCGUUGGUCAGGAUGCAUCCUCGAUUGAAGGUCAUGUGAAUGGAUAUUCAUAAGAUGCAACCAAACACCUUGGUUUUCAAACUCUUUUGGCUUCUGUGUGGUGAGCUUUUAAACCAAAUGUCUCAUGCUUCACAUUUCCAUGCAUACCUGAAUGGAGUAUAAUUUAACCAGGUCAAAAGAUGGACUUGCGGACUCUUGAAACAUACUAAGCCUAUGAUGAAUUGUGAUUCACAAGAAUGUUUAAAAUGUACAGUUAAAAUGAAAUGUGUAGUACUGUUUAAUGUUUUAAAGAGUUACAGGUAAUGUGUGUACUGUUUUUGGAAAUGUGAAAUUGAUCAAUAUGUAAAUGCAUCCUGCAAUAUUGAUGACACAUUGUGAUACAAUGUUUAAAUGUUUUUCCUUUGAAAUCUGUGCAUGAAAUUGUGAGAUUGUAAUAUUUUUAAUGUUAUUUAAUAAAUGUGGUAAAACAGCA